rnacentral:rRNA from 1 species
GACGUAGGGCGCGAGCGUUGUCCGGAUUUAUUGGGCGUAAAGAGCUCGUAGGCGGCUUGUCGCGUCGACUGUGAAAUCCCGCGGCUCAACUGCGGGUCUGCAGUCGAUACGGGCAGGCUAGAGUUCGGUAGGGGAGACUGGAAUUCCUGGUUGUAGCGGUGGAAUGCGCAGAUAUCAGGAGGAACACCGAUGGCGAAGGCAGGUCUCUGGGCCACUACUGACGCUGAGAAGCGAAAGCUGGGGAGCGAACAGGAU